rnacentral:lncRNA from 1 species
CGCCCUGCAGAUGGGUUGCUUUUCGCGUGCCCCUUGUGAUGGGAGGAUUAGGUCGCAGGCUCCACCCUACGUCAUCCUCCCAAGCUUCUCAAGCGUCUGGCGCUUGGGGUCACUGCCCUCAAGGAGGCACCUGGAGGGGGGGAUGGCGUCCACUCCGAUGGGGAAUGAGGGGGAGAAGAAGAGCAGCUGGCCAUCUCAAGCUGCACCCUCCUUGAGAGGAGGUCCGGCUUCGUUAUCUCGUUCUGAGGAAUACCUGUCCCAGAUCAGUGCAGAACUCAUGGAGGAGGCUUUGUGCACUGCUUGCUGCCACUUGAACCCUGUGCCCAUCAAAAAAAAGCAGUCACAAGACCAAGCGACUCAGAUAUCCAAACGCGCAUUCUUCACCAAGACCUGAGGCACAGACACCUGGUGAGUGAGGCUUCAAGGGAGAUGCUCUUUGUCCUGGGAGAGAGCCCUCUCCCCUCUCUUCCACCAUCUCCUGCUCGGACAGAAACCGUACCUGCAGCAAGGCAUACCUCCUGCCAACUCCUGGUGAAAAGAACAUGCCUCAAAACUACUCUUUUGCCACUCGUUAACCACUUCCGUUUGUGGGGACCUCCUGGUCAUGAGCAGCAUCAUCCCGAAGCCUUCAAAGUGUUCUGGAUUCAUCACAGGACCCUCCAGCCUCAGCCAGCAAGGAUACCACCAGGAAUGAAAGUGCUUUAAUAAAGAGACAGGGUGUGCAUU